rnacentral:rRNA from 1 species
UUGAACGCUGGCGGAAUGCUUUACACAUGCAAGUCGAACGGCAGCACGGGGGCAACCCUGGUGGCGAGUGGCGAACGGGUGAGUAAUGUAUCGGAACGUACCCAGUCGUGGGGGAUAACUAUCCGAAAGGAUAGCUAAUACCGCAUACGUCCUGAGGGAGAAAGCGGGGGAUCGCAAGACCUCGCGCGAUUGGAGCGGCCGAUAUCGGAUUAGGUAGUUGGUGGGGUAAAGGCUCACCAAGCCGACGAUCUGUAGCUGGUCUGAGAGGACGACCAGCCACACUGGGACUGAGACACGGCCCAGACUCCUACGGGAGGCAGCAGUGGGGAAUUUUGGACAAUGGGCGAAAGCCUGAUCCAGCCAUGCCGCGUGCAGGAUGAAGGCCUUCGGGUUGUAAACUGCUUUUGUACGGAACGAAAAAGUCUUCUCUAAUACAGGGGGCGAAUGACGGUACCGUAAGAAUAAGCACCGGCUAACUACGU